rnacentral:rRNA from 1 species
AGCGUGAAGCCUUCCCCGAGAAUAGAUAUCCCUGAAGACGCCUUGGAGACUACAAGGUUGAUAGGCAGCAAGUGUAAGAGCCGUAAGGCUUUCAGCUUAGCUGUACUAAUCCGUCGUCAGGCUUGACCAU